rnacentral:rRNA from 1 species
GACGAACGCUGGCGGCGUGCUUAACACAUGCAAGUCGAACGGAAAGGCCCUGCUUGCAGGGUACUCGAGUGGCGAACGGGUGAGUAACACGUGGGUGAUCUGCCCUGCACUUCGGGAUAAGCCUGGGAAACUGGGUCUAAUACCGGAUAGGAGCCAUUUUUAGUGUGAUGGUUGGAAAGUUUUUUCGGUGUAGGAUGAGCUCGCGGCCUAUCAGCUUGUUGGUGGGGUAAUGGCCUACCAAGGCGGCGACGGGUAGCCGGCCUGAGAGGGUGGACGGCCACAUUGGGACUGAGAUACGGCCCAGACUCCUACGGGGGGCAGCAGUGGGGAAUAUUGCACAAUGGGCGCAAGCCUGAUGCAGCGACGCCGCGUGGGGGAUGACGGCCUUCGGGUUGUAAACUCCUUUCGCUAGGGACGAAGCUUUUGUGACGGUACCUAGAUAAGAAGCACCGGCUAACUACGUG